CUCGGAGGAGGGUGGGACAGGAGC
rnacentral:piRNA from 1 species